UACGGGGGGGGCAAGCGUUGUUCGGAAUUACUGGGCGUAAAGGGCUCGUAGGUGGCCAAUUAAGUCGGACGUGAAAUCCCUCAGCUUAACUGGGGAACUGCGUCCGAUACUGGAUGGCUUGAGUUUGGGAGAGGGAUGCGGAAUUCCAGGUGUAGCGGUGAAAUGCGUAGAUAUCUGGAGGAACACCGGUGGCGAAGGCGGCAUCCUGGACCAACACUGACACUGAGGAGCGAAAGCCAGAGGAGCAAACGGG
rnacentral:rRNA from 1 species